UACGAAGGGGGCUAGCGUUGCUCGGAAUGACUGGGCGUAAAGGGCGCGUAGGCGGCUUGUAUAGUCGGAUGUGAAAUUCCUGGGCUUAACCUGGGGGCUGCAUACGAGACGUAUGGGCUUGAGUGCGGAAGAGGGUCGUGGAAUUCCCAGUGUAGAGGUGAAAUUCGUAGAUAUUCGCAAGAACACCAGUGGCGAAGGCGGCUCACUGGCCCGAAACUGACGCUGAGGCACGAAAGCGUGGGGAGCAAACAGG
rnacentral:rRNA from 1 species